AAAAAAAAAAAAAAAAAAAAAAGAAAAAAGAAAAAAAGAAAAAAAGAAAAAAAAAAGAAAAUAGAAAUAAAAAAGAGAAAAAAAAUGAAAAAAAGAAAAAAAAAAAGAAAAGAAAAAAACAGUAGAUGAAAAAAGAAAAAACAAAAGGAAAAACGAAUAAUGACAAGAGAAGAAAGGUAAAGAGAAAAGAAGAAAAAAGCCAAGUCAAAAAGUAAAGAAUAACUCGAAGGAAGGAGUGGAUGGCAAGAAAUACAGAGAAAGCAGUGCAUAGCACAGCAGAGCAAAGCAAGGCAAAAUAGCAGCCAAAGCCACGAGAAUCAAGAAGUCAGUGAAGAGCAGGAAAGGUAAGUUUCCCUUAAAGCAAGGGGGAAUGGUAGUGGAU
ensembl:lncRNA